UACAGAGGGGGCAAGCGUUAUUCGGAAUUAUUGGGCGUAAAGGGCGCGUAGGCGGCAUGGCAAGUGGAAGGUGAAAUCCCUCGGCUCAACUGAGGAACUGCCCUCCAAACUGCGUUGCUUGAGUCCGGGAGAGGUGAGUGGAAUUCCCAGUGUAGCGGUGAAAUGCGUAGAUAUUGGGAGGAACACCAGUGGCGAAGGCGGCUCACUGGACCGGAACUGACGCUGAGGCGCGAAAGCGUGGGGAGCAAACGGG
rnacentral:rRNA from 1 species